GUGAUCAUUUGGCAGCACAUAAUACUAAUAUUGAACAAUGCAGAGAAUAUUAACAUGGUCCCUCCUCAAAGAUGACACCCAAGUUUUACAAGCAUCCCAUAUGAAA
ensembl:snRNA U6 U6 spliceosomal RNA